AACGAACGCUGGCGGCAGGCCUAACACAUGCAAGUCGAACGCUCCAGCAAUGGAGAGUGGCAGACGGGUGAGUAACGCGUGGGAACCUUCCCUAUGGUUCGGAAUAGCCCAGGGAAACUUGGGGUAAUACCGAAUAAGCCCUUCGGGGGAAAGAUUUAUCGCCAUUGGAUGGGCCCGCGUCGGAUUAGCUAGUUGGUGGGGUAACGGCCUACCAAGGCGACGAUCCGUAGCUGGUCUGAGAGGAUGAUCAGCCACACUGGGACUGAGACACGGCCCAGACUCCUACGGGAGGCAGCAGUGGGGAAUAUUGGACAAUGGGCGCAAGCCUGAUCCAGCCAUGCCGCGUGAGUGACGAAGGCCUUAGGGUUGUAAAGCUCUUUUGGCGGGGAAGAUAAUGACGGUACCCGCAGAAUAAGCUCCGGCUAACUUCGUGCCAGCCGCCGCAGUAAGAC
rnacentral:rRNA from 1 species